CGAAGAACCUUACCAGGCCUUGACAUACCGGUCGCGGACACAGAGAUGUGUCUUUCAGUUCGGCUGGACCGGAUACAGGUGCUGCAUGGCUGUCGUCAGCUCGUGUCGUGAGAUGUUGGGUUAAGUCCCGCAACGAGCGCAACCCUCGCCCUUAGUUGCCAGCAUUUAGUUGGGCACUCUAAGGGGACUGCCGGUGAUAAGCCGAGAGGAAGGUGGGGAUGACGUCAAGUCCUCAUGGCCCUUACGGGCUGGGCUACACACGUGCUACAAUGGUGGUGACAGUGGGCAGCGAGCACGCGAGUGUGAGCUAAUCUACCAAAAGCCAUCUCAGUUCGGAUUGCACUCUGCAACUCGAGUGCAUGAAGUUGGAAUCGCUAGUAAUCGCGGAUCAGCAUGCCGCGGUGAAUACCGGUUCCCGGGCCUU
rnacentral:rRNA from 1 species